ACAAGUAGUCAGAGCCCGUUAAUGGGUGAUGGCGUGCCUUUUGUAGAAUGAACCGGCGAGUUACGAUUUGAUGCAAGGUUAAGCAGUAAAUGUGGAGCCGUAGCGAAAGCGAGUCUGAAUAGGGCGUUUAGUAUUUGGUCGUAGACCCGAAACCAGGUGAUCUACCCUUGGUCAGGUUGAAGUUCAGGUAACACUGAAUGGAGGACCGAACCGACUUACGUUGAAAAGUGAGCGGAUGAACUGAGGGUAGCGGAGAAAUUCCAAUCGAACCUGGAGAUAGCUGGUUCUCUCCGAAAUAGCUUUAGGGCUAGCCUCAAGUGAUGAUUAUUGGAGGUAGAGCACUGUUUGGACGAGGGGCCCCUCUCGGGUUACCGAAUUCAGACAAACUCCGAAUGCCAAUUAAUUUAACUUGGGAGUCAGAACAUGGGUGAUAAGGUCCGUGUUCGAAAGGGAAACAGCCCAGACCACCAGCUAAGGUCCCAAAAUAUAUGUUAAGUGGAAAAGGAUGUGGCGUUGCCCAGACAACUAGGAUGUUGGCUUAGAAGCAGCCAUCAUUUAAAGAGUGCGUAAUAGCUCACUAGUCGAGUGACACUGCGCCGAAAAUGUACCGGGGCUAAACAUAUUACCGAAGCUGUGGAUUGUCCUUUGGACAAUGGUAGGAGAGCGUUCUAAGGGCGUUGAAGCAUGAUCGUAAGGACAUGUGGAGCGCUUAGAAGUGAGAAUGCCGGUGUGAGUAGCGAAAGACGGGUGAGAAUCCCGUCCACCGAUUGACUAAGGUUUCCAGAGGAAGGCUCGUCCGCUCUGGGUUAGUCGGGUCCUAAGCUGAGGCCGACAGGCGUAGGCGAUGGAUAACAGGUUGAUAUUCCUGUACCACCUAUA
rnacentral:rRNA from 1 species